rnacentral:rRNA from 1 species
UACAGAGGGGGCAAGCGUUGUUCGGAAUUACUGGGCGUAAAGGGCGCGUAGGCGGCCUUCUAAGUCGAACGUGAAAUCCCCGGGCUCAACCCGGGAACUGCGUCCGAUACUGGAAGGCUUGAAUCCGGGAGAGGGAUGCGGAAUUCCAGGUGUAGCGGUGAAAUGCGUAGAUAUGACAUAGAACACCAAUUGCGAAGGCAGCUCACUACGCGAAUAUUGACACUGAGGCACGAAAGCGUGGGGAUCAAACAGG